rnacentral:ribozyme from 2 species
UGUUAAUGCAGCCCAAAAGGAAAAUGAAUUGAAAAAAUGAAUUUUCUUCUGGAUGGUCACAAGCCCAUAAAAAUGCAGAGUGGCA